UAAUACGGAGGGUGCAAGCGUUAAUCGGAAUUACUGGGCGUAAAGCGCACGCAGGCGGUCUGUCAAGUCGGAUGUGAAAUCCCCGGGCUCAACCUGGGAACUGCAUUCGAAACUGGCAGGCUAGAGUCUUGUAGAGGGGGGUAGAAUUCCAGGUGUAGUGGUGAAAUGCGUAGAGAUCUGGAGGAACACCGGUGGCGAAGGCGGCCCCCUGGACAAAGACUGACGCUCAGGUGCGAAAGCGUGGGGAGCAAACAGGAUUAGAUACCCUGGUAGUCCACGCCGUAAACGAUGUCGACUUGGAGGUUGUGCCCUUGAGGCGUGGCUUCCGGAGCUAACGCGUUAAGUCGACCGCCUGGGGAGUACGGCCGCAAGGUUA
rnacentral:rRNA from 1 species